GAUGAACGCUGGCGGCGUGCCUAAUACAUGCAAGUCGAGCGAACGGACGAGAAGCUUGCUUCUCUGAUGUUAGCGGCGGACGGGUGAGUAACACGUGGAUAACCUACCUAUAAGACUGGGAUAACUUCGGGAAACCGGAGCUAAUACCGGAUAAUAUUUUGAACCGCAUGGUUCAAAAGUGAAAGACGGUCUUGCUGUCACUUAUAGAUGGAUCCGCGCUGCAUUAGCUAGUUGGUAAGGUAACGGCUUACCAAGGCAACGAUGCAUAGCCGACCUGAGAGGGUGAUCGGCAACACUGGAACUGAGACACGGUCCAGACUCCUACGGGAGGCAGCAGAAGGGAAUCUUCGGCAAUGGGCGAAAGCCUGACGGAGCAACGCCGCGUGAGUGAUGAAGGUCUUCGGAUCGUAAAACUCUGUUAUUAGGGAAGAACAUAUGUGUAAGUAACUGUGCACAUCUUGACGGUACCUAAUCAGAAAGCCACGGCUAACUACGUG
rnacentral:rRNA from 1 species